rnacentral:lncRNA from 1 species
UUCAGUAUAGUGUUGACCUCUAACAUGGUUUCUACUUUUUUGAAUUAAAACUUCUUCUCACCAAUUGUGAACAUCUCUAAAUAGUGUAAGUGGUUGAUGUCUACUGACCAUUUUCUAGUCUUCCUACAAACGCUUUAAGGGUCAUUUUCCUAAAAUUUCGAGCCCUUACUCACAACCCAACCUUACUAGAAGACUUUCCUCUCUACUAGACCUAAAACCCUCAUGUCAAGUGUUGGGUGGAUAGAGAAUCUAGAACUGGUUAAGCUGUGAGAAAUUGGAAUCCGUAUUUGACACAACUAUUUUUAUAAAGCUUGAGGCAUAAAUCUAAAAAGUUAGUUUGAUCCCAAAUUCUUAACAUGUUAACUUUUCCAUUCAUUGCAAAUAAUCAAAUGGACAUCCUAUAAAGAAAUGACUCAUUAGUUCAAGGAGAUUUGCCACUUUAGCUUUAAGAUAAAAUCAAUGAGCUGAAAAAGGUAAGGAAGAAGAAGAAGAAGAAGAAGAGUUGGAAGUCUACUAAAGAGGCUUUGAAAGAUGAGAUCGCCCAAACUUUAUAUCCAGAUCUAGAAUUUUUAGCCAUAGAUCCUUGCAAAGUGGUUGUGGACGGAAAUCUCGUAGAGGAGUAGG